rnacentral:misc_RNA from 1 species
CGUGUACAACUAAGAUCUUUGGAUUGUUGACAUUGGAGUUGUAGGAGGAGCCAGGAGGUGUUCAUAUAAGUGCCUAUUUCAGACAUUAGAAAUAUUUAACAAGGAGAUGACGUUUCUGUGAAAUUGAGAGCGGACUUGGUUUGUCCUCCUAUUGUACGCGAUUUUUUUUCUUUGAUAGCAGAACAGUAGAAAGUGACUAUGGCAGAUGACACGGAAUUCAUGGAUGAAGAAACUCUAUUAACGAAACACCGAAAAGAGAAGAAGGAACUGCAAAGUAAAAUUCAAGCACUUAAGAAGACAGCAACAAAAGGUGACAAGAAGAAGAAGAAAGAAGUUAUGGAGGAAAUUGCUGCACUAGAGAUGGAGUUAGAGAAAAAACAGAAUGAGGAAUUGGAUAAACUAAAAGGAAUUACGGAGGUUAAUGGGGUGUCAACAGAUACGGAAAAGUUGCAUUUAGAUGAAAAACAACCUGAAGAAAAAGUAAUGGAAGAGGAGGAGGAGGAAGAAGAAAAUUGUGGUGGACCACAUCUACAGAAACGUAUAACAAAAGCACAAAAAAGGAGAGAGAAAAAAGCAACAAAAGAGAAGGAAAGAGAGAGAUUAAUAGCAAUACAGGAGACAGAAAAUGUACAUGGAGCUAGAAACAUAGAAAUGCAGAAGAUAAAACAAAUUCUGAAAGAGAAGAAAUUGAUGUUACAUGAAAUACCAUCUGAUGGCAACUGCUUAUAUUGUGCAAUAGAUUUUGCACAGGCAGCAGUUGGGGGAGAAGAAAUGGGAUAUCAGACUUUAAGGAUGCUGACCAGUCAGUUCUUAAGGAAAAACUGCUCUGAUUUUCUUCCAUUUCUCAGUGAUCCUGUGACAGGGGAUACAUUUUCAAAAGAGCAGUAUGAAGAAUACUGUGAUCAGAUUGCCAACACAUCCAGCUGGGGUGGACAAGUGGAGCACGAGUGCUACAUUGCUCACAGCACCAGAUCAGUAUUUUUCUUUGAAACUGCAUGCAGCAUGUUGUGCAAGCAUAAAGUAUGAGGGAUUAAUGAAGAAGAAUGGCCGUAAUGGUGCUGUGUUUGAGUUGUCUUGUGUGCAGACCAUCAGUUCGUCAAACUAGGUACACACAGCACCUUGUGAAGCAUGGCUGGCAAGAACGACCCCCUUCCACUGCAAUCGCAGUGUAAUUUUAAGGAGUACAAGAGGUGUGGCUAUAAAAUAACGGGGUGUAAAACACUUUAUUUC